rnacentral:rRNA from 1 species
GACGAACGCUGGCGGCGUGCUUAACACAUGCAAGUCGAACGGAAAGGCCCUGCUUUUGUGGGGUGCUCGAGUGGCGAACGGGUGAGUAACACGUGAGUAACCUGCCCUUGACUUUGGGAUAACUUCAGGAAACUGGGGCUAAUACCGGAUAGGAGCUCCUGCUGCAUGGUGGGGGUUGGAAAGUCUCGGCGGUUGGGGAUGGACUCGCGGCUUAUCAGCUUGUUGGUGGGGUAGUGGCUUACCAAGGCUUUGACGGGUAGCCGGCCUGAGAGGGUGACCGGCCACAUUGGGACUGAGAUACGGACCAGACUCCUACGGGAGGCAGCAGUGGGGAAUAUUGCACAAUGGGCGGAAGCCUGAUGCAGCAACGCCGCGUGCGGGAUGACGGCCUUCGGGGUGUAAAACGCUUUCGCCUGUGACGAAGCGUGAGUGACGGUAAUGGGUAAAGAAGCACCGGCUAACUACGUG